rnacentral:rRNA from 1 species
GCAAUGUGUGGCAUACGGCUCAGUAACACGUAGUCAACAUGCCCAGGGGACGUGGAUAACCUCGGGAAACUGAGGAUAAACCGCGAUAGGUCACUACUUCUGGAAUGGGUAAUGACCCAAACCUAUAUGGCCCCUGGAUUGGACUGCGGCCGAUCAGGCUGUUGGUGAGGUAAUGGCCCACCAAACCUGUAACCGGUACGGGCUCUGAGAGGAGGAGCCCGGAGAUGGGCACUGAGACAAGGGCCCAGGCCCUAUGGGGCGCAGCGGGCGCGAAACCUCUGCAAUAGGCGAAAGCUUGACAGGGUUACUCUGAGUGAUUUCCGUUAAGGAGAUCUUUUGGCACCUCUAAAAAUGGUGCAGAAUAAGGGGUGGGCAAGUCUGGUGUCAGCCGCCGCGGUAAUACCAGCACCCCGAGUGGUCGGGACGUUUAUUGGGCCUAAGGCAUCCGUAGCCGGUUCUACAAGUCUUCCGUUAAAUCCACCUGCUCAACAGAUGGGCUGCGGAAGAUACUAUGGAGCUAGGAGGCGGGAGAGGCAAGCGGUACUCGAUGGGUAGGGGUAAAAUCCGUUGAUCCAUUGAAGACCACCAGUGGCGAAGGCGGCAUGCCAGAACGCGCUCGACGGUGAGGGAUGAAAGCUGGGGGAGCAAACCGGAUUAGAUACCCGGGUAGUCCCAGCUGUAAACGAUGC